GAUUUCAACCUCUGAUCUAAACAUUCAAACUCUGGAUGGUUUGGAUUCUGAAUAUAAUCCUUUAGUUGUCAAAUUACAGGACCAAACCACACUCAGCUGGGUGGAUUUACAAGCUCAAUUACUAACUUUUGAAA